UAUUAAAGUUGUUGCGGUUAAAAAGCUCGUAGUUGAAUCUGUGUCUCGCGCUGUCGGUUCGCCGCCCGCGGCGUUAAACUGGCACGCACGCGAGACGUCCUGCCGGUGGGAGCGGCACGCGCGCCUGCUUGGACCGCGCGCUCCGUGGCGACCCCGCGUCGUCCGCGGUAGCGCCGGACCCUGGGUCCGGUCCGCUGCGCGCCCGUCCCGACCACGAAUCCCGUUGCGGUGCUCUUCGCCGAGUGUCGCUGCGGGCCGGCACGUUUACUUUGAACAAAUUAGAGUGCUCAAAGCAGGCCGAAAAUUCGCCUGGAUACUGUGUGCAUGGAAUAAUGGAACAGGACCUCGGUUCUAUUUUGUUGGUUUUCGGAAGCCCCGAGGUAAUGAUCGAUAGGGACAGAUGGGGGCAUUCGUAUUGCGACGUUAGAGGUGAAAUUCUUGGACGUCGCAAGACGGACGGAAGCGAAAGCAUUUGCCAAAAAUGUUUUCAUUAAUCAAGAACGAAAGUCAGAGGUUCGAAGGCGAUCAGAUACCGCCCUAGUUCUGACCAUAAACGAUGCCAGCUAGCGAUCCGCCGACGUUCCUCCGAUGACUCGGCGGGCAGCAUCCGGGAAACCAAAGCUUUUGGGUUCCGGGGGAAGUAUGGUUGCAAAGCUGAAACUUAAAGGAAUUGACGGAAGGGCACCACCAGGAGUGGAGCCUGCGGCUUAAUUUGACUCAACACUGGAAACCUCACCAGGCCCGGACACCGGAAGGAUUGACAGAUUGAGAGCUCUUUCUUGAUUCGGUGGGUGGUGGUGCAUGGCCGUUCUUAGUUGGUGGAGCGAUUUGUCUGGUUAAUUCCGAUAACCAACGAGACUCAUGGUCACGUCUCGUGCA
rnacentral:rRNA from 1 species